GAAAGAUCCUAGAAGUCAGUGCACUCUUUGUCUAACUUUUUGGCCAGUCCAAUUUUUUUCUUUCUUUCUCUCUGGUUUUCAAUUAUGUCAGGUCUCGUUUUGUUUUUCUCCCUUUUGCAUUUUUGCUCUUUUUCUAGACCUAUUCUUUCUUUUGCAUACAAUCAGCAACUCAUUUUUUUUUCUUUUUCUUUUUCACUUAUGGCCUAACUUUCCUAUUGCACUCACUAAGUUCCUAGAUCCUCCAUCCCUCUCACAUGUCUCUACAGGUUAGGUAUUUGGUGGGGAAAAUGGCUUGUAAUGAAUGGAAACAAAGAAAAUGGCUAAGGCUCAAAAGAAAGGUACAAUGAUAAGAAACUAAAAUGAUAAAGCUAAAUUGUUAUGGAUGGUAAUAAAGAAUGCCUAAAUCAUGUCUAAAGUCCACCAAGAGCAAGCUUAUCACAAAGAGUCAAUGCAAAAUCAGAAUCAAAAGCCAAACAAGCAUGAAAUCACACAAGAAAGACAAAAAUUGGGCCCAAAAUCUCUCUAGGUUAAGAAUUUUGCCAAAACUGACUGGCUA
rnacentral:lncRNA from 1 species